CCUACGGGCGGCAGCAGUGGGGAAUAUUGCACAAUGGGGGAAACCCUGAUGCAGCGACGCCGCGUGAGUGAAGAAGUAUCUCGGUAUGUAAAGCUCUGUCAGCAGGGAAGCAAAUGACGGUACGUGACCAAGAAGCCCCGGCUAACUACGUGCCAGCAGCCGCGGUAAUACGUAGGGGGCAAGCGUUAUCCGGAUUUACCGGGGGUAAAGGGAGCGUAGACGGGAGGGCAAGUCUGGAGUGAAAGGCGGGGGCUCAACCCUCGGACAGCUGUGGAAACUGCCAGGCUGGAGUGCAGGAGAGGUAAGUGGAAUUCGUGGUGUAGCGGUGAAAUGCAUAGAUAUUAGGAAGAACACCAGUGGCGAAGGCGGCUUACUGGACUGCAACUGACGUUGAGGCACGAAAGCGUGGGGAGCGAACAGGAUUAGAUACCCGAGUAGUC
rnacentral:rRNA from 1 species